rnacentral:rRNA from 1 species
CCUACGGGGGGCUGCAGUGGGGAAUAUUGCACAAUGGGCGAAAGCCUGAUGCAGCAACGCCGCGUGAGCGAUGAAGGCCUUUGGGUCGUAAAGCUCUGUCCUUGGGGAAGAAACAAAUGACGGUACCCUUGGAGGAAGCCCCGGCUAACUACGUGCCAGCAGCCGCGGUAAUACGUAGGGGGCGAGCGUUAUCCGGAAUUAUUGGGCGUAAAGAGUGCGUAGGUGGCCAUGUAAGCGCGGGGUGAAAGGCAAUAGCUUAACUAUUGUAAGCCUUG